rnacentral:rRNA from 1 species
AGAGUUUGAUCCUGGCUCAGAUUGAACGCUGGCGGCAGGCCUAACACAUGCAAGUCGAACGGUAACAUUUCUAGCUUGCUAGAAGAUGACGAGUGGCGGACGGGUGAGUAAUGCUUGGGAACUUGCCUUUGCGAGGGGGAUAACAGUUGGAAACGACUGCUAAUACCGCAUAAUGUCUUCGGACCAAACGGGGCUUAGGCUCCGGCGCAAAGAGAGGCCCAAGUGAGAUUAGCUAGUUGGUAAGGUAACGGCUUACCAAGGCGACGAUCUCUAGCUGUUCUGAGAGGAAGAUCAGCCACACUGGGACUGAGACACGGCCCAGACUCCUACGGGAGGCAGCAGUGGGGAAUAUUGCACAAUGGGGGAAACCCUGAUGCAGCCAUGUCGCGUGUGUGAAGAAGGCCUUCGGGUUGUAAAGCACUUUCAGUUGUGAGGAAAAGUUAGUAGUUAAUACCUGCUAGCCGUGACGUUAACAACAGAAGAAGCACCGGCUAACUCCGUGCCAGCAGCCGCGGUAAUACGGAGGGUGCGAGCGUUAAUCGGAAUUACUGGGCGUAAAGCGCACGCAGGCGGUUUGUUAAGCUAGAUGUGAAAGCCCCGGGCUCAACCUGGGAUGGUCAUUUAGAACUGGCAGACUAGAGUCUUGGAGAGGGGAGUGGAAUUCCAGGUGUAGCGGUGAAAUGCGUAGAUAUCUGGAGGAACAUCAGUGGCGAAGG